rnacentral:lncRNA from 1 species
UCUCAACUAAUAAUUUUAUUAGCCAAGAGACAUAUACAAUAUAUAUUUGAAAAUUUAAGAUUUAUUUAUAGCAAUCAAGCAAUGGAAAAUUUGGCACCGAGGUCCAUUGUGGUGGCACUUUUUCACCUCGCGAUAGUUUUCUCCCCAGCAAUGCCAUGUGAGGCAACUCGACUGCCUCAGCGAGGUUCAUAAAUAAUUCUAUAAAUGCAUUUAUUACAUAUAAUUAAUUAGUCAAUCAAUUCAUUUUCCUUUAGCAUAAAUUAAGUUUUCUGAUUUGUAUAAUUAAUUAAUUAAUGAAUUAUAUAGUUGUUGAUUUGAAUUAAAUAUGCCCACGGAGCUACUUCAGAGAGGCCCCAUAUGUCCUGCUUGUGUAUGUUGUACACCUCCGCCACCGGGCAAAUGUUGUCGUCGUUGCUGUGCUAAUCCAUCUCCUAUCAGUCUUCAAUCUCAGAUUAUUAAUAAUGUUUCACCGUGAGAAAUUGAUAUAUCAAUCUCAAUCUCAAUCUAAACCUAAUAAUCCGCACUUAAUUUCAUAUAAUUAAUUUUACUAUAUACACCAUUACACUCUGUUUCUGAGUUUUGAACAGAAAAAAAAAAGAAUAGAAAACUUAAAUUAGAACAUAAAAGAAAAGAAUAGAAAACUUGAAGUUUUCCUUUGUAUUGUUUCUGAGUUUUUAAUAGAAAAAAAUAGAAAAUUUAAAAUUGAGGACAUGAGUUGUAAUUUAAAAUUUAUUAUAUUAAAAGUUGAGGAUAAUAUGAGAAUUAUAAAAAUAUUACUUAUUCCAAUUUCUUUUUCGUCCAAAUCAGGCCUAUCUUGGACGGAAAACUUUGGUAGGAAAAAUGGCCAAGUUUUCUAUCCAUUUCCUUUCUUUUCCGUUUAUUAAAAAACUCAGAAACAGAAGAAUUGGAAAGAAAACUUAAAUUUUCCGUCCAUUUUUUUUUCUUUUCUGUCCAUUUUAAAACUCAGAAACAGAACGUUAAAUAAUAGGAAACUGUACUUUGGAACCCGGUUAAAAAUAUGUAGUAAUCAAGUUACAUUGAACUCUACUUUGGAAAGUCUUUCUCGUGAGAGGCUUUUUUACAAAUUUAUAUGUGAACCUUUGUAUAAUUAAUUCCUCUUAAUAGUUGUAAAAAUGAUAAUGAUAAUACUAUAUAGGAGCAGGUUUUCACAAUAAAUCAUAAUUUCAUAAAAUUUAUAUUCUUAUUAUUGAUUAGAAAUAUUCGAUGAGAUAAGCAAUUGGGCCGGUGAUAAGGACCAACUGGCCAUCGGAAAAGAUCAAUGGUCAACGUUUACACACUUCAAAAUUGGAUUGCAUAUCCUUUCUCCCAAUCAAAAGUCAAAAGAAGAUUUAGUCCAGUUGAAAAGAUUAAUGGGAUCUUAGCCUAGUGGUUCAGACUGUGGUAUAAAUAGCUCACCUUUUUGGUCUCAUGUUCUCUUCUUACUUAAGUGAGUUUAUUUCUUAUUUUCUCUUUAUGUGAGACUUAUUUUUGGGUCUUUAUGUGAGGAGUUCUUCCACUGCGACCUGCGGGCAGCGAUCGGUCUAGCUAUUGGUGCAAUUUUUUAUUUUUUUUUACUCCCAAACAAUUAAUGUGAUUUAUUGGAACUGAAAUUUUUACAAAAUUCAGCAAUUUAGGUGUCAUUUGGAUACAUGUAAAAAACAAGAUUUUACAGUCUGU